GCCUGGGUAGCUCAGUCAGUUAAGCAUCUGACUUGGUUUCAGCUCAGGUCACAAUCUCAGGGGUCAUGGGAUCGAUCCCCAUGUCGGGCU
rnacentral:tRNA from 1 species